GGGCGCCGCGCGGAGGAAGUGCCCUUUUGGCCGCAGCCAGAGCCGCGCCGCGGGUGCCGCGAUGUUGUCCCAGCCGGGGCGCGAGGAUGAGGGGGCGAGGGGCGCGUGGCGGCCGGGGGAGCCGCCGGAUCAGGAGCUACAGUGGGCCCGGGAGCAGAAGCGGCGGUGGCACGGCGCGCAGCAUCUGCAGCAGCUCACGCGCCUGGAGUCCUUUUAUGAAAAACCUCCUCCUGGGCUUAUCAAGGAAGAUGAGGCUAAGCCAGAAGAUUGUAUACCAGGUGUACCAGGCAAUGAACAUACCAGGGAAUUUCUGGCUCAUGCACCAACUAAAGGAUUUUGGAUGCCACUGGGGAAAGAAGUCAGAGUUAUGCAGUGUUGACAUUGCAAACGGUACGGUCACCGAACAGGCUACAAAGAAUGCCCUUUCUUUAUCAAAGACAACCAAACGUUAGAACAGUUCAUAGUAGCACAUGAGGAUUUCAUGUAUGACAUCAUACAAGACAAUAAACAAUAUGAAAAGGAUGUAAGGAUACAGCAGUUAAAAUAGUUACUGGAGGAUUCUACCUCAGAUGAAGAUGGGAGCAGCUCCAGUUCCUCUGAAGGUAAAGAGAAACACAAGAAAAAGAAGAGGAAAGAAAAGCAUAAGAAAAGGAAGAAAGAAAAGAAAAAGAAGAAAAAACGGAAGCACAAAUCUUCCAAGUCAAAUGAGAGUUCCGACUCAGAGUGACAAGGAUGGGACUUGUUCAAUGUUCUCUUCUCAAGAAUCAAAACAUUGUGGCCAAGGAACAGAGAAAGAUACAGUCAGAGAAAGUAGCAGGAUAGAGACACAGAGAGGAGGAUACGUGGAUCACAGCAGUGAGCUCCCACCCGCCUUCCAGUGAAGAUGUGACCCCAGGAGAGGGAAUAUCUCCUUCCACGUGCUAGCUCUGGACAGUGGCUGAUUUUAGGCAGGACAGUUUCUUCGGUGUUGUCCUCCCUGCUGGUCACAUGAGUUUACGAUUCAUUUGAAAUACCUCCCACAGGGUAGCAGGACUGGGAGAAUCUUUGAGGCAUUUAUUCCAGGCCCUCCCACAGCUUGUGCCCUCCAUAGUGUGGAAUUGAACACCUGGCCUCAUGUGAUCCUUCCACCUUGGCCUCCCAAAGCAUUGGGAUAACAGGUGAGAGCCACUGCUUGGCUAAAAGUGUACAUUUAUAUUCUUCUGACAUGAUUUAUUGAUUUGGGGGCUAGGGAGUUCUUAACAAUAAAAAAUCUUGUGUGGUUAGCAUUCUACUUAACUUGCUUUCUACUGCCAGAGUCCCAUGAUUUUCACAGAGUGACUCAGAAAAGGUUUAGGAAUAUAGGGGGAUUUCUUUACUAGGUCAGGCACCCACAUCCCAAAAUCCAUGCCUCCCUUUCUUCCUCUUCCUGUUGCCUGACCACAGCCCAUCUGUGCUCUUGUAGCUGAGACUAGGCCACAGUAGAGGCAUCUCAGGAGGCCAGGGUGUGUCUGCAGCUGGAGGAGAGGAAGUCUGUCCUUUGCUGAGCCAAAGUGAAGCUGGAUCUUGCUCAUAGGCAAGUGUGUUCCUCUGUGGCCAACACUGGACUCUUGCUGCUUUAGGCACUCAGUCAGGGUCCCAGAAACUCACUCCCAUUUUCUGCGACUUUUCAUGGAGUUUAGAUUACACCUCUUUAAGGAACAGCCAAGCCAGGCCCAGACUGACCCUUCUUCAAGUCUCAUCAGUCAAUGCUCCUGUUCAUGGCCUUGGAAUACCACCUCAGGAAAACAAUCGGUUGAGAUUGGAAUGGCCAGGACUUAUUAUUUCUGAAAACUGUAAGACCAGUGGAUUCAGCCUUGCCUUACACUUAUCCUUGUCAUCAUUCCUCAGCACGCAGAACACAGGCCAUCUGUCCUCUGCCAUAUGCUCAGCAUUUCCCACCCAGGUACAGCCGGUCCUCUUCUUCCAGGAAUUGGCUAUUGUCCCUCUGCAAUCCCAUUCAUGAUAAAAGCAUUCUUAUACAACA